ensembl:ncRNA lncRNA:CR45432 long non-coding RNA:CR45432
AACGUUUUAAAGUACGCCUCCAAUAUCGGUUCAUUCAUUCAUCAAUCUUGAAUCUGAGUCAGGAACAUUAGCACAUACUGUUUCCAAAUGCUUUUCAUAAUUAAAUCAAUAAUCUUGUGUUUGAAAUGUGUUACCAUAUUAAGACAAAUUAAACUGCUGUCCAAAAUCAUUUAUCACACUGCAAACCAGACCCAGGAACUAACCAAGGCAAAAGAAAAAAUUCAGCAUAAGCAACACCAGACGAACAUGAGCACAGACAAAUGUGGAAGCUGGCAUGGUCAUCAACUCACUUGGCUUUUUUCCCUGUUGCCUCAGCUCAGUUAUUUUUAAAAAAUAUAUAUCCAGUAAACAAUCAUUUCCAUGUAAAUCCAACCGAGACUGACCUCCAGCGUGGACACCGACAAUUGAAAACGAUCAUGUUGCCAAGAAAGAGUCUAGAGAAUGAUGUAACAGACGGCUGGGAUUUCGGGAACAGGUUUGCGGGUUAUUAACACUUUCGCUGCUUGGAUUCUACUCGUGAAGAAGAUGUAGGUCAUCUGCCGGUGAUCGGAAGACAAGUUACUUCUGUAAAUGGGCACUUCAUACAAUAAAUAAGCCCAAUUACAGUGAAACAUUUAUAAUGAACACACAAACGCUGCAUAUUAAUAGCAUUAAAAAGUAUUAAAAGCUAAAAAACUAAUUAC